UGAACACAUUGAUUGAAUAUGUGUUCCCCUCGCUUGAUGACGAGAGAAAUACGACCUCCGUGGAAUAUAUGAGCACACGGGCCAUCCUCUCAACAAAAAAUGAUUUCGUGGAUAAGCUGAACACGAAGAUGAUUGAUAGGUUUCCUGGAAAGGAAAAGAUUUACCUCAGCUUUGAUUCAGUCGAUGAUGAUCCCCAAAAUAGCUACUCUUUGGACUUUCUGAACACGAUCACUCCAAAUGGCCUCCCUCCACAUGAGCUUAAAGUGAAGGUCAA
rnacentral:lncRNA from 1 species